AACCCUUGACAAUGGGCAAAAAGACACCUUGUUGAUGGUGUUACUGUCAUAUCAAUCAGGGGCAGAGAAGAUGGCAGUCCUUUAUUCAUCCUAGCUUGAUGCCUGGCUUGGUAGCUAAAGCUGUCUUAUGCCUAAGAUUUGAUA